rnacentral:tRNA from 1 species
GGAGGCUUAGCGAAGUGGCCAAACGCGGCAGACUGUAAAUCUGCUCCCCCUGGGUUCGGUGGUUCAAAUCCAUCAGCCUCCACCA